GGGGAUGACCGGUUUCGACAGGGCAUGUGUUGGGCUUGGUUGCACUCCGAGUUUCAGCAUGGAUGGACUCGUUAAAGAAGUCUAUGCAAAUCCAGAUGCAGACGAUUACUCGUAUGCAAUGGCUGCCUAGUUAGCGUUUAGUUAAUUUAGUCAGCUUUCGCUCGCAGGUAGAGGCGCUUACUCUGAAGCCUGCCGGUGUCAUAACCCGCGCUUGAGCUAACUCGAUUUAUCGGGACUGCUCGCGCAGUAAGAUUCACUAAUCUAUGUCCGGUGGGAUUGGUGAAUACACAAUCGGGAUAGUGGGCUGACCUUUGUCGGUGAAGUCGUAGUUCACGAAAAACAAACCAUCGAAGAUGAGUGUGGUGGCCAACUCUGGCAGUGCUUUGGACGCGGGUUCGACUCCCGCCAUCUCCACAU
rnacentral:tmRNA from 1 species